rnacentral:rRNA from 1 species
AACUUUCAACAAUGGAUCUCUUGGCUCUGGCAUCGAUGAAGAACGCAGCGAAAUGCGAUAAGUAGUGUGAAUUGCAGAAUUCAGUGAAUCAUCGAAUCUUUGAACGCACAUU